rnacentral:rRNA from 1 species
GAGUUUGAUCAUGGCUCAGAUUGAACGCUGGCGGCAUGCUUUACACAUGCAAGUCGAACGGUAACAGGGAGCUUGCUCCGCUGACGAGUGGCGAACGGGUGAGUAAUGCGUCGGAACGUGCCGAGUAGUGGGGGAUAACGCAUCGAAAGGUGUGCUAAUACCGCAUACGAACUGAGGUUGAAAGUGGGGGACCUUCGGGCCUCACGCUAUUCGAGCGGCCGACGUCGGAUUAGCUAGUAGGUGAGGUAAAGGCUCACCUAGGCGACGAUCAGUAGCGGGUCUGAGAGGAUGAUCCGCCACACUGGGACUGAGACACGGCCCAGACUCCUACGGGAGGCAGCAGUGGGGAAUUUUGGACAAUGGGCGCAAGCCUGAUCCAGCCAUGCCGCGUGUCUGAAGAAGGCCUUCGGGUUGUAAAGGACUUUUGUCUGGGA